AGGAAAUCAAAAUUUCUGAGUAGGGCCGGAGAACCUUUCUCUCUCUCUCCCCUUCACACACACACACACACACAAUUAUAUAUAUGUUAUAUAUGUAUAUGGAUACGUAUCUGAUAUAUAUAACAUAUAUAUUGGAGACAGGGUCUCACUCUGAGGCCCAGGCUGGAGUGCAGUGGCACAAACAUGGCUUACCACAGCCUCAACCUCCUGGGCUCAAGCAAUCCUCCUGCCUCAGUCUCCCCAAGUAGCUGGGACCACAGGUACUGGCCACCUCUCUUGGUUAAUUUUUUUUUUUUUUGUAGAGAUGGGAUCUCUCCAUGUUGCCCAAGCUAGUCUCAAAUAUCUCGGCUCAAGGAAUCUUCCCAUGCUGGUCUCACAAAGUGCUGAAUUUACAGGCAUUAAGCUACCAAGCCCAGCCUGAGAAUCUGUAUAUUUAAACACAAUAGUAAUAGAAUGUUCUAAGAGAGAAAGUGUCCUCCUUCUUGGUGGCAUUCUGUUCAGUGACAUGACUUCUGAAGAGAUGCAAGGUAGGCAGUCUCAGCUCUGAACAGGAGGGGGUCUCAGCUUCAUAUAACCUCUGUCCACCUGUAACUCAAGCAGUUCAGUCAUCAUGGAAGACUGUAAGAGCCUAGACAUGAGGAUAGUAACAAUGGCCAGGAUGGACUAACCAUAGGGAUCUUUCAUUCAUCUUAUAAUAUUAGAUAAGCCUCAUAGUCUUAUCAUCCCUUCCGAGGUAGGGGAAGGAGUCUGAUUAUUACAUAGGCUGGUUCCCAGCUCUUCCAACAAUGUGGGAGCUGAUGAUGUGAUUUAAUUUGCUUCAUUUCAUUUCUGCCUAUUUAUGUUCCAUAAUUUAUUUAUUUAAUGUAUAAAUGCUUUAUUAUGUCUUUGAACCACAUCAACAAAUUUAUUCUGACCUAUUUUCAGGCUAUUCUCUAAAAUAAUUUUUAUUCGGGUGAAUUACUGUUUCUGAAUUAUACUACCAAGUCUUCUGUUCCUUGGCUGUCCUUUGAGAAAUUAGACUUCUUCAUGUGUUUUUGAACUUUGGUUUGCAGGCUCAUUUUGAGCAUCCCCUUCAAACUUUUCCCUCCCUAAGAAUUUAGUGGUUUUCUUUACCUAGCCCAGCCCUUUCACUCCUAAACCAGAAUCAGGUUUACAAUCCAGCUUGGGAUGUACUGCCCCUAGGGGACAUUGUGGAGUAUAGCAGAUCCAUUACCGAGUCUGCAUGGUGCUGGCUCGGUUCCUGGGAGUCACACUUCGUCUUCGCCCUUUGUCUCUUCAGGUUUGCAGCUUCAUCUGAAGCCAUAGUCAUAAUAGAGCAGCGAGCGUUGUUUGCCUCUGGCAUCACAUAGGAAGCCUGGCUCUGCUCCAGGUCUCACUCACAUUUAAAACUCCUUUUCCCAUAGGGACCAAACCCUCAGUCACUAGUGUCUACUUCCAGAGCUCAGACAACCCACGAUUUAUGGUUUUCUUUUGUUUCUGGUCCACGGAGAUGUUUAUCUUGUACCAGAGCCUAGUUAGAUCUUCCCGCUUUUUUUUUCUUUUUAAAAAAUAUUUCAUCUGUCAUUGCUUUUUGUUCACAGAAGGUGAAUUCACUGCAUUUUGAUCAUUAUAAAAGUCUGAAUUAAUUCAUUUGAAAAUGGUAAAUAAAUGACAUUUCUUUCAAGCACAAGUCUCUGGAGUGAGAUCCACAUCCUCUACAACAACAUAAGAAAUCCUUGUGGAAGACACCUCUGAUUAACUCCUAUUUAUUCCUCCACUUGACAGAGCCUGAGCAUCGAUAUCUUCUAUUAAUAUUUGUGGAAAAAGGACUUGAAAUUUGUGGGAGGCUACCACUUCCGCCACAUACUCAUGCACACACGUGCAAUUCCUUGCUGAGAGUGGCAAAGACAAUAAAGGAAUUCACUGUAGGAGGUGUGUUCAUGUAUCUGUAUGAGAUUAUGAGGGAUACUUAACAAAAGUGGCAUUUGCUAAGUGAUUGAAAGAUUAUCCUUAUACUCCAGGUUUCUUUUCCAGUUUCAGCUUAGGCUCACAAAGACAAACUAGAUAGUUCCUGCAUUCUGAAAACCCUGUGAAAUGGACUGGUUCGAACGGGCAGUUUAUAACAUGAUACUUUUAGAUUGGAAGGCCCAGUGAGGUGAGGAUCUUGAAGUACUCACUCCCUGAGAAGUUAUUCUCAAAAUGAAAACAGUUUAAAUAGGUGGACAGGAACAGGUAUUUAUGAAGCAAAGAGUUAGGCUAAUUUUUGCUUGGUCUCAAUCAUAUUUAACAUAGGGAGAGAAAAGUAUUCCUGGUCCCAGAAUUGGUUAGCACAAGACAUGGGAAUUCUAUUGGUUUCAAUUCUUGGGACUGGGAGGGACCUCAGGAAGAUGGCAUAAUAGCAUUCUCCAGGUCCAUCUCCCUGCAGGAACAUCAAUUUGAAAAAGUAUCUAUGCAUGAAAAUACACUCACAAGAGCUAAGGAAACCAGGUGAGAAAAUACAGUACCUGGGCAUAGUGAUUCUUGUGACUCAUGAGGAAAAAAUUAUUUUAAAGUAUAUUCCUGUUAUUUUCUUUUUUUUUUAUCCAAUUUAGAUAACAUGGUCAGUCACUUGAAUAAUGAUCUUACUAUCAUAAACACUUCCUUGACUACUAUCCUGUUGUACUAGCCCACAGAGUGCUAAACAUGGAGUAAUUCUAAACUGCAGUUACUUUUGCACCAACCUAAUACAACUUGUAAUGAAGAUUGUUUUUCAUAUCUGGUUCCAACUGUCUGUUGGUGGUGGCUUUGAGCAGCAGUGUACAAAGAAACAAGCUGAGCUCAGAAGAAACAAGUGCAUGAGUGGAUCACCCUGUCUAUUAUGGACACAAGUGGAGAGUAGUGAGAGGUUCAACUUUAUACUUAAGUCUCAAAAUGUCUAUCUCUAUUGUCUCUAUUGGACUUCGGACCUGCACAUUCAACUACCCACUGGGUAAUCUUAUCUGGAUGUCCCAACUACCUCAAUCUGUACAUGCCUAAAAUUAAAAUAAAAGUGGGUUAACUGAUCCAUCAAAUUGGCAUCAUGAUCCCUAUUAGCAUUGUGUUCCAGGCAGCCAUUACCACAUUUCAGAUUAGUACUCAAUUCAAAAUAAACCCUCUUUGCCAUCUGACUAAGGAAACUUGCUCUGAUGGUGGAAUUAUAGGCAUCAGCAAUGGGGGUAAGGGAAAAAGUUGAUGGGAUGGUGGAAACGCAGUGUCUUAAAAUCUUACCCAUUUCACCUUUCCUGGCCCUGAGUACAGAAAUAAGAUCACAGGGAAAAAUUCAAACUAUGCUUGCUCUCAAGUGGAGUGAUAGAAACUAGAAAAAAUGAAGGUAAUAAAACUUUUAGACUUUCUUUACAAUAUCCUAUUUAGCUUAUAUAUAUCUGCCCAUCUCCCUUAACUUCCUCUCCUUAGCCCCCAAUAUUUUUAUUGUCAGAUGGUCAUUAGGACAAAAGCUUAUUUAUCUGAAGAAUUAUAGUGUCAGUCCCAUGUAGGAUGGUCUAUGUGUUUACGCAAAAGUGCUCCGUGACACAAACAAGACACUUACGCCCC
rnacentral:lncRNA from 10 species